ACUCGGUUCCUCUGCAAGAGCAGCCAGU
rnacentral:piRNA from 1 species